GGUGAAUGUGACUUCAACAGAACGAAAGUAGCACCAGGGCAUCCCCUGAGCCUGGAAGAGCCUUGCGAAAUGUAGACUUGCAGUACACACGAUGGGCAAACCGGUCACCUUUCAAUAGAAGGAUGCGGAACCGUGGUGGCUGGUGCCAGCUGCCAAAAAGUCAAGGGUACCGGUGUCUAUUCAGGCUGUUGUGAAAUUUUGAUCUGCAAUUGAGAGUUUCGUUGGUUACGGAAAGGCUAUCAAAGAUUGACGGGAACUUCUAGCAUUAAUUUGGAUAUUUACAUUGCAUGUGAAUAUAGUUGCCAGUCUGAGCACCAGUUCUAAUCGUAUAGGCCGGUGUUGAUGCAUUGACGUCAACCGAAAUAUUCCGCUUCACCUUCUUCAUACUUCCAUCAUAACUAAUACAAAUCUAUCCGUGGUCUCUGCCUUUCAAGCCCUCUGAGACUUUGAUUUUUACUGCUCUGAUGCUUUUUCAAGAUAUUAUUAAAAUAUACUGUUAUUAUAAAUAA